rnacentral:tRNA from 1 species
GGGCCCGUAGCUCAGCAAGGCAGAGCAGCGGACUCUUAAUCCGUAGGUCGCGGGUUCAAUUCCCGUCGGGCCCGCCA